AGACCUUAGUGGACAAUGAAGCCAAGGGCUCCAGAGCAUCCCUAUACCAAAGGGAGGUCACAAUAGGGUCUGCACAUCUCUAUAGCAUCCAUUGCUAUAGUAACUACAGAGAAAUAGACUAAACCGUGUCAAGCAUGUAUUGAGUGUUUAAAAUCUAAGCAGUCCUAUAUUUCUGCCUACUGAAAUAUAUUAAAUAUAUUGUGCCUCAGAAAUGGUAGUGCAAUAGAUAGAAAGUAUGUUAACAUAAACUUCCUGUAAAAUUAGCAACUCUAUAGGACAAUCCUUUGGUCAAUCGAACAAGGCAGCUCCAGUUUCUCACUCUGGGCCUGCAAGGUAUCUUUACACGUUUCCACAGGCCUGUAGAGUAAGGUAUUAUUCCUAGGCUUCUUCACAAUGACUACCCAGAUUCUGGUGGGGGCUGAAGUUGGGGCAAGGAAACAAGCCCAGGCCAAAAACCAGUAAUGCCACAUAUGGUUGGCUCAUCCUACACAGACUGUGCCUAUGGUAGGACGGAACUAGCAGCAGCAGCUAUUGGACUUGCUCAAAGAAGGAUGGUCGGCUUUCCCAGCACUACCAGCGGGCCCUGCCUACACCCUAAGAGUAACUGCCAGAGAGAUAGUUCAAGGUGACAACAGCUCCUCUGCAGCAGCACAUAGUGGCCUUGCCAGAGACAACAGCAGAUCAAGUAACUACUGAAGAUGAUGGCUACACUUGGACAGGUGACAUUACAUUAUCAUCAACAAAUAUUUAUCACCUUCUUCAGUACUGUGACUACAAAGAAGGAUAAGAUCUUCUUCUGCACGUUAAGUACUUUUCAAUCUAGAGAGUUAGGUGGAAAAAUAAAAAUAUAACAUAA